rnacentral:rRNA from 1 species
GUGGGGAAUAUUGGGCAAUGGGCGCAAGCCUGACCCAGCAACGCCGCGUGAAGGAAGAAGGCUUUCGGGUUGUAAACUUCUUUUACCAGGGACGAAACAAAUGACGGUACCUGGUGAAUAAGCCACGGCUAACUACGUGCCAGCAGCCGCGGUAAUACGUAGGUGGCGAGCGUUAUCCGGAUUUAUUGGGUGUAAAGGGCGUGUAGGCGGGACAGCAAGUCAGAUGUGCAAACCAGAGGCUCAACCUCUGGCCUGCAUUUGAAACUGUUGUUCUUGAGUGUCGGAGAGGUAAUCGGAAUUCCGUGUGUAGCGGUGAAAUGCGUAGAUAUACGGAGGAACACCAGUGGCGAAGGCGGAUUACUGGACGAUAACUGACGCUGAGGCGCGAAAGCGUGGGGAGCAAACAGGAUUAGAAACCCUUGUAGUCC